rnacentral:lncRNA from 1 species
AACAGUCGCUCGGUUUGAGCUCAAAUAAAUGCAGGGAUGCCUCGGCUGGGAGCAGUCCGCCGCCUCCCUCCGAGCGCAGGACGCUCCGACGCCCGCUUGCCCGCAGGCCACCGCAGACUGGGAAUUACACAGCAAGAUGGCUUUCCCUACUCCAUCGUGGCUAGAGCCUCUGCAAGGGCUGAAGCCCUUUGAUCUUGGCUUCAUUUGGAUACAUUUCAAGGGCCUUACUGGCUUUGGGCAAGUGCUGAAGUUCACUCAUUUUCUAUUGGUUGUUUCUCCCCAUGAAAGACAUUGAACAUAAGUGGUGUGGAAUAAUGUUAAGCUUCUCUGAUGGGUCCUAAAUGGUUGAAGAACACCCCUCAAGAGAUGGGAAGAUUCUAAGAGCCAGAGAGAAUGGAUUACUCCAAGGCAACACAAUGGGACUGAUGACCACAUGAACUCUUAGAGACUGUAGCAGCUUGCACCAGGCCUGUACAGGUUCAAGCCAGAUGGGGUUCCAGCACUGAGAGGGGAAUUGGACAUGGACGUCUACUCCUUACUAAGAAGCUCUCUGCAACUGAUACCGACUUGCAAAGGAAAAUAGUUUUCUCCAAUGAAGUACCACUGAGUAUAUUAACCAUACUUCAAGGUAGGCCGCCUUCCCAAAAAACUUGGGGUUGGAGUCUGGUCCCCAAUGCCUAUGUUUCUGUUUCCAGGGUGAAUUCAUUUCAUAUUUUCAUGAUUUAUGAAAAAAUAUUUUAGAUGAAUGCAAUACAAAUCAAGAUUAACCAA